UUGACUCCACUAUUGGUACGUUCUUUAGCUAAACAUUGUUUCUACUCUACAGGUGACAUGAGAAUUUCAAAUUUAAUGUUCUUCAUUUAUAAAAUGUUGUGGAGUUAUUUUUGUUGAAUCAUAUUUGUAUAUGGAAGGGCUGUUGUAGCUUUACUGAAUCAUACUGACGCUCUUAAAAAUCUUUCAGGGUCCAGAAGACGAAACUGCUUUAACUGAAACCAUAACAGAAGCUAUGACUGAAUUGGCGGAGAGGCUAUGAAGUGGAAAAUCUGAAAGAAGUUUGCAGUUAAAGAACAUUGCUAUCAACUGGUAGUUUCUUUUUGGCAAGGCCUCCCUUAGGUAUGCAUAUAGUUAUUGGCUACUAAAAGUUAGUUGCUUUCGGUUACUUGAUUGUUUUUGCUUGAUAUUUCCAAACAAUCACACAUGAAAACUGAAGAUCAAGAGGAAACCUGCAGAUACAUGAACAUGUUCUCCAAUUCACGUAUACCCUAUCACUUGGUCAACUGGGUGAUCAGUCAAGGUGAAGUGAUCAGAGAUGUGGACGCACCGCUAAACUCUACGCCUGCAUCCUUCAUCGAGUGGUGUGUAUCGCUUGAAGAACAAGGACUAAAGGUUUUGACUGUGACCAUUCCAACAUUGACACAACAAGUUUGAAGAGAAGUCCAGAUUGCAACCUUUUGUAUUCUCGGAUCGUUUUGUGAAUGGGACUAAGGUUGGAGUUUCAGACAUGAAGCUAUGAGUGCUGAACCACCCACCACUUGAAAAUCGGCUUAGCAUGAAACCCUGGAAAUGUAAGGAUGCUGCAGAAGUAGUAACUGUUGUCCAGAGAUUCUAACAUGUCACUUCGUAACAUUUUUAGGAUCUACUACUUUUUUUUUGAUCAAGUAGGAUCUACUACUUAACCAAGAAAAUAACUACUAUUGUGGAUCUUUGUAUUGUAAAGCAGACUCUUAAAGUCUUUUAGAGAUCA